UGCAAGAGAGACGUGACAAGACACCAAUGGCCAGAGCACUGGCUGCGUUCAUCCUUCUUAUCUCAUUGAUUUUGGCCGGAACCCUAAAUGCUCCUGACAACAUACCUCUGAUCCAAACUGGACUUGGUGAAACUGUGAAUCUGACAUGUAAUACAUCUGGGCAUGAAAAUGGAUUGUUUUUCUGGUAUAAGAUGAAUUAUGGAUAUAUGGUCCAAACGAUUGCUUCAGGUACUUUUGGAUCUAUAAAAAGGAAAAAUCCUUUUCUGGAAUCAAGAUUUCAAAUUGAUAACAAAGGGAGUAUGCAUAUCCUCACCAUCAUUAAUGUCAGCAAAGAGGACGAGGCAAUAUACUUUUGUCAAUCAGGUGCAGCAUACAAGCUGGCAUUUGUUAAUGGGACAAACUUGGCUGUAAAUGAUUCUCGAAAUAAGAAGUAUCUCUAUGUGGGCCAAACUUUGGACGUGAAGUCUAUUUCACUUGGUACUGAGGUGACUCUGCAGUGUUCACUCUUCUCUGAGAGGACAGAAAAAGAAAGCCUAGACCAGUGCACGGAUGAACACAACGUGUUCUGGUUUAGAGCACAAUCAGAAUCUAAUCCAGGAUUCAUCUAUGUUGAUAAAAAACGUUGCGGCAAACAAGCAGAGAGGAGCUGUGAAUACCGGCUGUCCAAAACUGUUAAAAACCCCUUGGAUACUGGGACUUAUUACUGUGCCGUGGUUACAUGUGGCGAGAUCCUGAUUGGAGAAGGAACCAAAGUGGAGAUAAGUAUGCAAUUAGACAAAGAUUUAAAAACAUGCAGUUUCGAGCUUUUGCAAUGAAGUCAUAAUUAUAUUAAAGUUUUAGAAGCAAAAAUAAUUUAUCGACAGUAAAUGAUUAAUUGAUGAGUUACAGCAGUGUAAUUAACAGGUUUUACAACUAAAAGAAACGUAGUAUUCUUCCAACAUCUGAGAACAUUGCCCCCUUGGGUUGUGAGCCCCAUAGCCCAUGUAAAAAAUAUCCCUACAUAUAAUGUAUUACAAAAAACUAGUUUUCCUCUUACUUAUAAUCUAAAGAAAAGUUAUCAGUAUGUUAUUACAAGCAUGCAGUAUUGUGAAGCGGACCAAGAUGUGUGUGCAGAAAGGAGGUAGAUGGGUCAGUGAGAUCAACAGAUUUAUUUUCUGUAGAUGGUGUGGCAUGAAAACAAUAUUCCACCACAACCAGUGAAGCAAACACGACUAAAUAAAUAGCACAUGGGGCAGAAGAAAAUAAAGGAUUAAUGUACAGUAAUUAGGUAACAGAAGAAUUCUUAGAACCAAACCAAACUUAGAAUGAUCACAGUAAUACGAAAAAACAAUGGCAAACCGACCUCCACCACAAAUGAUAAAUUAAAGCAGAAUCCAAAAACACCCACCGACAGUGGUUAUUCUUAAAAGGUUGACACAAAUACUACAGCAGUAUUUUUUUUUAUAUUUAGGCAGAGAGUUUUAGGUAUUUUUUUCUAAAAAUGCUAAAUGUGAUUGAAAGUAAUUUAGAUUUAACCUUGAUAUGCUUCUUUAAGCCCCUGUCACACCUUGACGAUUUAGCCAGCGUAUGCCCAAUGUACAAAAAAAUCGACGUAUGCCAGCGUAUGCCAUAGAUGGAGCAUACAUUACAGGUAAGUUAUCUGAUCGUUGAGAUAUAUUAAGUUUAAGUCACUCAUAAGUCAUGGUGUCUAGCUUAUCCAAAACCUACUGUAUGAGUAACUUUUGCAUAACUUAUGCGUAACUUAUCUCCAACGCAUAUCAACGUAUCUGACGUCUUCCAGACGACUGCUGAACGUCUUUCCAUUUUACAGCUAAUGUAUCAUGCCGUUUUGGCAGCAUUUUGGUAUAAAAGUGGAUUCACAGGAGGAAACCGUCAGAUCUCCUCCAGAUUUCAUCCCCAUCAUAGGGUGAACGAGAAGGACAAGAGUUUUGCCUGUAUGCAAUUGUGCUAUGUGGACUUUUGGCUUGUUCUGUACUUGUGAACAUCGCUUUGAUUUUUACAAGGAAAAAGCCAAAGCAGCUUCAUGACAAUCACCAAGGAGAUUUAAUUGACGCAGCUCAUACUGAACUGGAUGAGGACCAACCAUACAAUGUGCGGGAAAGUGAAGAAGAUGGGAUGAACUAUGUGGCACUAAACUUCUCUGCACGAAAACCUACGAGAUGGAAGAAUAAGAGGGAGACAUCUGAUGAGUGUACAUAUUCAAACAUUAAAAUGUCCAUUAAAGGCAGUGUUCAUCAAAAGUGAUCAUCUUAAAUGAGCUUUAUACUGUACACAUUCCUACUUGUUGGUGAUGAUUAAAUAUUGACUUUAAGAGGAAGUGGUGCUUGUUAAAAAUAUUGUUAUAUGUUUUAGCAUGUAAGACUUUUUUUUUUAAUAACUGGUUAUAUGCUAUUAAUAACUACGUUUUAUUCUGAUUGAUUUUAUAAAUGUUUAAGGAAGAGCAUCAGCUAAAAUAUAUAAAAUUAUUUCUCUAUAUUAUUUGGCGCAUUAGCCCUUUAUCUUACUCUCUACUAUUUUAUUAAACAAUCACUGCACAAGUUUUAUAGUUAUAGAUCAUAAAGUAAUAGAGCGUUAUAAAUAUAUUACAGAUUAUUGUUCUGUGUGCUAUGUUAAGAGUUUUUAACAAUCAUUUCAUUAUUAAAACAUUCCCUGAUUAAAAGCUAUAUAGCCUCAAAGGUUGCACUUUUCUGUUCCUCAUUACCUGUACAAUGUAAAAAAUAUAUAUAUAUAACACCUGUAAAUAAAUAAAUAACUGCUUUGCU